UGUCUGAAAAGAAUUGCAUAACUACUGGAAAACAGAUUAUCCUACUGUUAUUCAAAGUGAAUUUCUCUUUCAAUUUCUUACUGGUGUUAAUUCAGUCUACCUGAAGACCACAGUGCACCUCCAGAUGGCCUGAACACCUAACUGUCUUAUGCAUGCAGGUUCAUGGGAGUGGAGGAGGAGAAAGUAAAGAAAAGCAAGGAAGGAGGGAGAAUGAAAAAGUGCUGGGAGGAAGAAGGAGAAACGAGAGAGAAGAGGUGGAGAACAGGACAGAAAAAGAGGAGAGGCAAAGAAGGAGGGAAAUGAGAAAAUUAUUUGAAAUCUGACUCUUGUUGAACUAUGCUGUUGUUGGACAGAUUAUCUAAAGGAGUUAUUACAUAUUUAAUCAAGCAUGGCUAAUUUGACUAUGCUGUUUAUGUCUUGUCAAAUGUCUCCACUGUGUUUCAUGUCUCACUUUAUGAUUGGGAGAUUCUGAAGUUGGCAAUGUCUACAAUUCCAGUAAUGUUGAAUGUCUAAAUGCUUAGCAUCUGAGUUCCUUGGCCAUCUCUGAACUGCGAGUUGCCUGAGAAAAUGUGAACAUUUUUGUCUGAGAAUGAAUAAUGUUAAUUUGACUCUCAGAGGAAACAUAAUUCUAAAAAGAUUGAGGACUAUUCAUCUAAAUGUGUGUAUUCAAUUUAG
rnacentral:lncRNA from 1 species